UACAGAGGUCUCAAGCGUUGUUCGGAGUUACUGGGCGUAAAGGGUGCGUAGGUCGCUGCGUAAGUCAGAUGUGAAAUCCGGAGGCUCAACCUCCGGCCUGCAUCCGAAACUGCGCGGCUAGAGUGCUAUAGGGGGGCUUGGAAUUUUCGGUGUAGCAGUGAAAUGCGUAGAUAUCGAAAGGAACACCUCUGGCGAAAGCUGGGCCCUGGGUAGCAACUGACGCUGAUGCACGAAGGCCAAGGGAGCAAACGGG
rnacentral:rRNA from 1 species